rnacentral:rRNA from 1 species
UACGGAGGAGGCAAGCGUUAUCCGGAAUCAUUGGGCGUAAAGAGCGUGUAGGCGGCCAGGUAGGUCUGCUGUGAAAACUCGAGGCUCAACCUCGAGACGUCGGCGGAAACCAUCUGGCUAGAGUCCGGAAGAGGAGAGUGGAAUUCCCGGUGUAGCGGUGAAAUGCGCAGAUAUCGGGAAGAACACCCGUGGCGAAGGCGGCUCUCUGGGACGGUACUGACGCUGAGACGCGGAAAGCGUGGGGAGCGAACGAGG